rnacentral:rRNA from 1 species
GAUGAACGCUGGCGGCGUGCCUAAUACAUGCAAGUUGAGCGAACAGACGAGGUGCUUGCUCCUUUGACGUUAGCGGCGGACGGGUGAGUAACACGUGGGUAACCUACCUAUAAGCCUGGGAUAACUUCGGGAAACCGGAGCUAAUACCGGAUAAUAUCUUGAACCGCAUGGUUCGAUAGUGAAAGAUGCAUUUGCUAUCCCUUAUAGUUAGACCUGCGCCGUAUUAGCAAUUUGGUAAGGUAAGGGCUUACAAAGGCAACGAUCCGUAGCCGACCUGAGAGGUGGAUCGGCAACACUGGAACUGAAACACGGUCCAGACUCCUAGGGAGGGCAGCGUUAGGAAUUCUUCCGCAAUGAGCGAAGGCCUGACGGGGCAACGCCGGUUAGGUAAUGAGGUUCUUCGAUUCUAAAAACUCGGUUAUUGGGGAGGAACAAACGUGUAAGUAACAGCGCACGACGUGACGGUACCUAAUCAGAAAGCCACGGCUAACUACGUG